AGGGUCACAGAGUCUGGCGGACUGGAAACAGCUUGGCCCCGGCAGGAGAUUAGAAGGGCUGGAAUCUGUUUUAGGACUGGGAUUGGAGUAUAACAGGGGAACGGUUAAGGAGCUGUGGAGGAGGCCUAGAGGGAAUGGAGAGAAUGAGGGAGAAUCUAGGGAGUGUGAGGAUGCGGGAGAACUUUCUAAAAGUUGGGGACAGUAUCUGGGGAGGAUCAGAAAGAUACAACCUGGAAUUUUUUUCCAUGGUGUUCCUGGGAAGGACAAGGAAGGGAAACUGACAUUUAUUGAGCAUUUGCUAUGUAAGAAAGGGGCUGAGUCAGGUGUUUUCUAAAAAUGUUAUAUGGUUUCAUAAUCACAGCAACCCUAUGAAAUAUUAUUCUAGUUGCACAGAUACGGGAGCUAAGACUUGUUUCCCAGUCUCACAAGUGUUAGCUUUGUGGAAAUGGGAAACAGACCUCUGGAAUCUCUUAUACUUAGCCCAGCGGUGGGUUGGAGAUGGCAAGGAAUUAAAGAUUUGGGAAGAGACUGACUCACCGUCACACCCCUCACUUUUGUGCUAUAGUGGAUCAAUCUUCCUGUCCUACACCUGACCAAGGAUCCCCUAAAGACCCCUGGAAGGCUGGACCAUGGCACAAGAACUGCCUUCAUCCAUCACCGGGAGCAAGUGUGGAAGAGAUGCAUCAACAUUUGGCGUGAUGUGGGCCUUUUUGGGGUGCUAAAUGAAAUUGCAAACUCAGAAGAAGAGGUGUUUGAGUGGGUGAAGACGGCAUCCGGCUGGGCCAUGGCACUCUGUCAAUGGGCCUCUUCUCUCCAUGGGUCCCUCUUCCCCCAUCUGUCUCUCAGGAGCGAAGAUCUGAUUGCUGAAUUUGCCCAAGUCACAAAUUGCACCAUAGUCCCCUCCCUGAAGCACCGGCUGCAGCGAAAUGUGGCGGCUCUGGCCUGGAAGCCCCUUAGUGCCUCUGUCUUGGCUGUGGCCUGCCAGAGCUGCAUUCUUAUCUGGACCCUGGACCCUACCUCCUUGUCUACCCGACCCUCUUCUGGCUGUGCCCAAGUGCUGUCUCAUCCUGGGCAUACACCUGUUACCAGCUUGGCCUGGGCCCCCAGUGGGGGGCGACUACUCUCAGCUUCACCCGUGGAUGCUGCUAUCCGGGUAUGGGAUGUCUCAACAGAGACCUGUGUCCCCCUUCCCUGGUUUCGAGGAGGUGGGGUGACCAACCUGCUCUGGUCCCCAGAUGGCAGCAAAAUCCUGGCUACCACUCCUUCAGCUGUCUUUCGAGUCUGGGAGGCCCAGAUGUGGACUUGUGAGAGGUGGCCUACUCUAUCAGGGCGCUGUCAGACUGGCUGCUGGAGCCCAGAUGGCAGCCGACUGCUGUUCACUGUAUUGGGAGAGCCACUGAUUUACUCCCUGUCUUUUCCAGAACGUUGUGGUGAGGGAAAGGGGCAUGUUGGAGGUGCAAAGUCAGCAACAAUUGUGGCAGAUCUGUCUGAGACAACAAUACAGACACCAGAUGGUGAGGAGAGGCUUGGGGGAGAGGCUCACUCCAUGGUCUGGGACCCCAGUGGGGAACGUCUGGCUGUGCUUAUGAAAGGAAACCCAAGGGUACAGGAUGGUAAACCAGUCAUCCUCCUUUUUCGCACUCGAAACAGUCCUGUGUUUGAGCUCCUUCCCUGUGGCGUUAUCCAGGGGGAGCCAGGAGUCCAGCCCCAGCUCAUCACUUUCCAUCCUUCCUUCAACAAAGGGGCCCUGCUCAGUGUGGGCUGGUCCACAGGCCGAAUUGCCCACAUCCCGCUGUACUUUGUCAAUGCCCAGUUUCCACGUUUUAGCCCAGUGCUUGGCCGGGCCCAGGAACCCCCAGCUGGGGGUGGAGGCUCUAUUCAUGACCUGCCCCUCUUUACUGAGACAUCCCCAACCUCUGCCCCUUGGGACCCUCUCCCAGGGCCACCACCUGUUCUGCCCCACUCCCCACAUUCCUGCCUCUAAUAAUAAAUAAAAGUUUUCCUUUUGUUUUCCACUC
rnacentral:sRNA from 1 species